CAUGCAGUCGAGCGAAUGGAUUAAGAGCUUGCUCUUAUGAAGUUAGCGGCGGACGGGUGAGUAACACGUGGGUAACCUGCCCAUAAGACUGGGAUAACUCCGGGAAACCGGGGCUAAUACCGGAUAACAUUUUGAACCGCAUGGUUCGAAAUUGAAAGGCGGCUUCGGCUGUCACUUAUGGAUGGACCCGCGUCGCAUUAGCUAGUUGGUGAGGUAACGGCUCACCAAGGCAACGAUGCGUAGCCGACCUGAGAGGGUGAUCGGCCACACUGGGACUGAGACACGGCCCAGACUCCUACGGGAGGCAGCAGUAGGGAAUCUUCCGCAAUGGACGAAAGUCUGACGGAGCAACGCCGCGUGAGUGAUGAAGGCUUUCGGGUCGUAAAACUCUGUUGUUAGGGAAGAACAAGUGCUAGUUGAAUAAGCUGGCACCUUGACGGUACCUAACCAGAAAGCCACGGCUAACUACGUGCCAGCAGCCGCGGUAAUACGUAGGUGGCAAGCGUUAUCCGGAAUUAUUGGGCGUAAAGCGCGCGCAGGUGGUUUCUUAAGUCUGAUGUGAAAGCCCACGGCUCAACCGUGGAGGGUCAUUGGAAACUGGGAGACUUGAGUGCAGAAGAGGAAAGUGGAAUUCCAUGUGUAGCGGUGAAAUGCGUAGAGAUAUGGAGGAACACCAGUGGCGAAGGCGACUUUCUGGUCUGUAACUGACACUGAGGCGCGAAAGCGUGGGGGAGCAAACAGGAUUAGAUACCCUGGUAGUCCACGCCGUAAACGAUGAGUGCUAAGUGUUAGAGGGUUUCCGCCCUUUAGUGCUGAAGUUAACGCAUUAAGCACUCCGCCUGGGGAGUACGGCCGCAAGGCUGAAACUCAAAGGAAUUUGACGGGGGGCCCGCACAAGC
rnacentral:rRNA from 1 species